ACAAGCUUGGGCUUGCUUUGGCAAUACUAAAAACGAAACAAUAUAGAGAGUAGCAUGGCCCCUGUACAAGGAUGACAUACAGAGUAUGUCAUUUUGCAGAGUUCC
ensembl:snRNA U6 U6 spliceosomal RNA